UACGUAGGGUGCGAGCGUUGUCCGGAAUUACUGGGCGUAAAGAGCUCGUAGGUGGUUUGUCGCGUUGUUCGUGAAAACCGGGGCUUAACCCUCGGCGUGCGGGCGAUACGGCAGACGUAGAGUACUGCAGGGGAGACUGGAAUUCCUGGUGUAGCGGUGGAAUGCGCAGAUAUCAGGAGGAACACCGGUGGCGAAGGCGGGUCUCUGGGCAGUAACUGACGCUGAGGAGCGAAAGCGUGGGAGCGAACAGG
rnacentral:rRNA from 1 species